rnacentral:rRNA from 1 species
UUGUGGGGGGAUUAGUGGCGAACGGGUGAGUAACACGUGAGUAACCUGCCCUUAACUCUGGGAUAAGCCUGGGAAACUGGGUCUAAUACCGGAUAUGACUCCUCAUCGCAUGGUGGGGGGUGGAAAGCUUUAUUGUGGUUUUGGAUGGACUCGCGGCCUAUCAGCUUGUUGGUGAGGUAAUGGCUCACCAAGGCGACGACGGGUAGCCGGCCUGAGAGGGUGACCGGCCACACUGGGACUGAGACACGGCCCAGACUCCUACGGGAGGCAGCAGUGGGGAAUAUUGCACAAUGGGCGCAAGCCUGAUGCAGCGACGCCGCGUGAGGGAUGACGGCCUUCGGGUUGUAAACCUCUUUCAGUAGGGAAGAAGCGAAAGUGACGGUACCUGCAGAAGAAGCGCCGGCUAACUACGUGCCAGCAGCCGCGGUAAUACGUAGGGCGCAAGCGUUAUCCGGAAUUAUUGGGCGUAAAGAGCUCGUAGGCGGUUUGUCGCGUCUGCCGUGAAAGUCCGGGGCUCAACUCCGGAUCUGCGGUGGGUACGGGCAGACUAGAGUGAUGUAGGGGAGACUGGAAUUCCUGGUGUAGCGGUGAAAUGCGCAGAUAUCAGGAGGAACACCGAUGGCGAAGGCAGGUCUCUGGGCAUUAACUGACGCUGAGGAGCGAAAGCAUGGGGAGCGAACAGGAUUAGAUACCCUGGUAGUCCAUGCCGUAAACGUUGGGCACUAGGUGUGGGGGACAUUCCACGUUUUCCGCGCCGUAGCUAACGCAUUAAGUGCCCCGCCUGGGGAGUACGGCCGCAAGGCUAAAACUCAAAGGAAUUGACGGGGGCCCGCACAAGCGGCGGAGCAUGCGGAUUAAUUCGAUGCAACGCGAAGAACCUUACCAAGGCUUGACAUGAACCGGAAAGACCUGGAAACAGGUCCCCCACUUGUGGUCGGUUUACAGGUGGUGCAUGGUUGUCGUCAGCUCGUGUCGUGAGAUGUUGGGUUAAGUCCCGCAACGAGCGCAACCCUCGUUCCAUGUUGCCAGCGCGUAAUGGCGGGGACUCAUGGGAGACUGCCGGGGUCAACUCGGAGGAAGGUGGGGACGACGUCAAAUCAUCAUGCCCCUUAUGUCUUGGGCUUCACGCAUGCUACAAUGGCCGGUACAAAGGGUUGCGAUACUGUGAGGUGGAGCUAAUCCCAAAAAGCCGGUCUCAGUUCGGAUUGGGGUCUGCAACUCGACCCCAUGAAGUCGGAGUCGCUAGUAAUCGCAGAUCAGCAACGCUGCGGUGAAUACGUUCCCGGGCCUUGUACACACCGCCCGUCAAGUCACGAAAGUUGGUAACACCCGAAGCCGGUGGCCUAA